rnacentral:lncRNA from 1 species
GAAAAUGCUAGGAUAUUAUCAUUUAAAUAUGCUCCCUGUUAUCUGUUUAGUAAUACUGUAAAUAAAGAGUUUUAUACUCAAAAAAUAAUAAUAAAAAAAAACUUUAUUGUUGUCACAGACUAGAGUGUUGAUAGCAUCUCUGCUUCCUAUAUGACACUACUUGGUUCUAUAGUGAAAAGACCUGACUCUAGCAUAAUCUUUUUUGAAUGUAGCUGUCCUUACUAUCAUGUGUUUUCCCCAAAGGUGAAAGAAGAAUACUAUCCGUACUUUGUGUUUGCCAGUAGUUUCAACUCUGAAUGAAGUCUUUCUGGAAGCUGAUGUUCAAGCAAUUUCAGGGUUAUUGGCCAAUAUGGAAAUCAUUCCAGACUGGACAAACGUGUAUCUAGAAGAACACAUUUUGCUGUGUCAAGUGCAAACCCAGCCCUUGGUUCACCUUAUGCUCACAACUCAUCCCAGUUUGUACAGAAUUGACAAUCUCUCAGAUGAGGAAAGAUGGAUUCCUUUUUUUAGUGGCUUUUUCUAGAUGUUUUCUAAGCGUAAUCAUACUCAUUCCAGUGCUGAAUUGAGAAGAGCUGUAAUCACCUCCUCACUUCCUCGGGGAGCCCUCAGCAUCAAUGACAGAAUCAACCCUCAGCCCCCUGUUCUUCAGCUCUCCACGGAGAAACUGAGCAGAGAUGGCGCUUUCCUCCUGGAUUCAGGCUCUGUGAGUAGUUUGACUUCCUGACCCCCUCACUGUACCACUGUUCCUUUUUAGCAUUAGGUUUCCUUCCCCAUGGUAUCUCU